UGUGACUGGUUAUAUAAAAGUAUAGGGCACAGUUGGAGUGAACCAGAUGGGAUGAUGGCUGUCAUUUUAAAGACGAACGCGCUUUUCUUGUCUGCCUGUGGAAAUUUCGCCUCUGCAUGACCUUGUGAACUUGCCUUCCGUGUGACCCUCGACAAUCCCCCCCUCCGACGGCUCCCAGAACACCCCUCCACAUCCUUGUGCUCAUUUGAGCAGGCUAUUACCCAGGCAGGAAGUGACAUCAACGGGUCCAAACUAAAAAUAUGUCGCAGGACGGGCUGUCUAGGAUGUCCAGGACCGGUGUUUGUAAAGAAGGAUGCCAUGCACCGGCUCUACAGAGUGAUGCUCAUUGAAGGAUGCAGGAGAGAGCGCCACACAGGCGAGCCAGACAGACGCACUGGAGGCUGAAUACUGAUAGUCUUCCUGUGGCCUCCCUGGUCUGGUUGGCGCUUGAUGACAUGAACAGUUCUGGACAGAUGUGAACCAGCCUUCUUUACCAGUGGUCCUCUUGUUCCUGCGUCUCAUCUAUCUCUUCCCCUGCAGCUCCUGGCUAUCUUCACCCUCUGUGGCUCCUUCUGAUGGCCCCCUAAUCUCCGCCAGUGUGCAGCCAUGUAUGCAUUGCAAGGCGGCUGUGUAAUCAAGCCUGUGAACUCCACAUCUGAAGGAAGGAUUCUGUUUCUGAUCACAUGCCUUUUGAAGUCCAUCCAUUCGCUGAACACGGAUGUGUUGACGGGAUCAAGCUUGUCUCCUUGCAGCCUGCACAGCCGAGGCCGUGGAGCCAUUAGUGAGUCCCUCCUCUGAUAAUGAAGCCACAGAGGUGGUCUGAGCCAGUGUGGCACAGGAGCUCCAGCACAGGAGGAAGGUAGAUUAGUAUAAUUACCUGGCCACAGGGGAAUGAUGAGGAAGAUGUCUCACUUCCCGCAGGCCUUCACCGAAGAAGGACGGAGUGCUGAAUAAUCAGGUGCCACACUGGAAAGAAAAGAAGUGAAAAUUAGUUCCAAUCAUUGCUAAUGAUCAAAAUGUGAAACGAUGCAUUUUUAAUUGUGUGUGACAGUGAUUGCUCAUUUCAUGUUUUCCCAGAUGACAUCCAUGUCCCGCACAUGUAUGCAUUUGCUGUUUGUAGCUGUAGUUUAAGUCUCGCACACAUACAGUACAUAAAUCGCAGAUAUUCACACUCAGUGAGACUUUGAAGAGUCUAUGAGGUCAGGUUUUAAAUUAUGGUCUGCUCCCACACCAGGCUUUCUCUCCCCACUCCUGUAAAUCCAUUUUCCACACAAUGCAUUUCAAAUCAAGGCAGCGUCACCAUAACAUGCCUUAGGAAACAUUAAGCCAUAGUGCAUCACUUUCAUGUAUGAUAGCAUAGCCCCUGUAUGCUUUGAUGUGCUCACUUUUUUUUAAUGCUUUAUUAAUAAUAACACACAGGCUCCCUCUCACACCAAACAUCAGCUUCUGGUGCUCCUCUUUCUCUCCUCCUGAACUACAUCCCUCACUCCUUGCCUUUGCCUCAGCUCCUUCAUCCCUCCCCCGGCCCCUGAGCCAUGUCUCAGGAUUGGCCUGUUUGUGUUUGGGAUGGGGAGGGGGAGGAUUAGAGGGAAUGACAUGGGGGCCUCUGAGAUGAAGAGAGCGACAAAGACCUAUCAGAGGGCAGAGAGCGAGGGGCGCUGCGUCAUCAUUGGCUGACGUGGAAAUCAGACACGUCUUCAUUUCUUCCAGCCAUACAUUCUGAGUGCCCAGCUUUCAUUUCCAUGCCCGAGGAGGGAAGCAGAGUGAGGAAGAAGAGAGGGAGGGGGUCAGGAUUACAGUUUCUGUUUGUGCAUUUAAGUGAAUUUGCAUGUGUGUGUUUGCUUGCAUGAUGUGUACAGCAAACAUCCUACAAAUACAGAGGGAAGAGCGCAAAGACACUGAUAGCACUCACCUCCUCCAAAUCUGGACAAAAUACAAAAUCCUGGAGCACCCUGAAAACUCAUUGUGCCAUUCCAGCUAAACACAGUCCCUGUGCCUGAUUCACAGACACACAGGACCUACUUAUGAUACGGAUUUCUCACUGAUUUCUGUCAUUAUUUCAGCUUCAUCCCUGAAUACCUUGUUACAGGCACCCCAAAGCUCACAAUGGCUGUUCAGUAUUUUCUGCUUUUUUUUUUUCCUUUUCAAUAAUUUCAAAGCAAUGUUGGCGAUUUAGCAUUUCGCAGCUCCCCACGAUCACAUCUGCUGAUUUAAUUUUCUGCUUUUGUGUGCCGUUUGUGUUCCUUUUUGAUGUUUCUUUCCUCUAACUGUUAAAUAACAUCACUGAAUCUUGUUUUGUGUUUUUGCAUUAUAUUUCUCAGCCCACAACUUCUGCAGAAGUCUCUCAAGUCGUUUAACGCAAUCUGUGGCUGUAUUGUGUAAAAGCUGCAUGUAAUUAGUAACACAUGCCAUAAUUGCUUGUAUAUGUUCUCAUACACAUUAUGCAAUGUUGUCUACACAGAUUUGGCGGAAUUCUGCAAAGUUCUCAUGUGAUGAAUGUGCCCGUCCAUCUUGCCGUUGCAACAGACUGUUGUCAGUGUGCGCCUGCUUGUUAGGAUGCAGCCAGUUGACUCUGGCUGUUUGAGCCAUGAUGGAGCAGUGGUGCCGGGCCCCAGUUGACUUUUCUCUCCUCCUCUGCCCAUUAUAGAUCUGCGUGGUCUGCAGGUCCUCUGGGGGCACCUGGCUCCCCUCCCUGCAACCUAAGACCGGAUCGAUCGCAGAGGCCGUCAGGCGUCAGCUUCAAAGACCUCCUGCCCACUUCCUGCCACCUGGUGCUUUUUUUUUUUUUUUUCGGACAGAGGGUACAUUUCCGUUCCACUCCCUCCGCUCUCAGAUGCCCUUCUGGGAACAGGUUAAGGACAUGGAGCCGGUACAGCUCCUCCCUGUGAUCUACCUUCUGCCUUCUCCCUAGUCGUCCACACAGGGAGAAAGGGUGAGAGAUCAGAUCCGUCCAAACAACACACAACCUCACAUUUGAUGUAAGAUCCUGCUUUUGAUUCAGUCAUUGCCUAAAGGUGCAUAUUACUCAACAUGGAGACGUUUGGGUUAUUUCAUUUUUUUUUUGGCGAGGUUACUGACAGGUAUCAGGUGGAUUGGUUGAUUCAUAAAAAAAAAUGUGCAAAUAACCCCAACAUAUAGCAUCACUUUUCUAAAUGUAACAAGCUAUUACUUGUAUGGACUUUUGUAUCAUAGUUCUUAAAAAUGUAUAAAGUUAAGUGACCUUUUUGGCUUUUUAUUAAAAACUGAUCAACAAAACUGCUAUGGUAUGAAAAUCUUUCUCUCUCUUUCUUUCCCGUUGGUCAAGUAACAAAUGGCAGGGCUAUCGAACACACAUUUUAUCUCCAUGAGGGCUGUCGGACAAUCAGCUCCAAGAAUACAUGUUAAUCAAUCGAGGAUUUUUUGAAUCCGUCUAUUAAGCCCAGCCAUUUUUCCCCCCUCCAAUACAUUAGCAGAUCUCAGUAUGUCCGCUCCUCUUGUGAACAGGGAUGAGAAGGAGCUGGAGGGAGAGGAAAUAAAGGUCUGACGGGUUUGGCAAAGAGAGGAUGGAGGCUGAGACAGAUGGCAUGAAGUCUGCAGCACUCUGGCGUGGCUCGCCUGGUGCUAAAAUCCUCCUCUCUCACAUUCCAACAAAUCCUACCAGGAGGCUGGGGAGUCUGUCACACCACUCCAAGGUUCCACACGGCUCACUUCAACCACCCCCCCCCACCCCCCCAACCCCCCACAUCUCCUCCUCAUCCUCUGUCGCCCCGGCCCAGACAGAGCCCCUGACCACUCUGCGCCCAACCCUGCUAUAUUUCAUCCUCACAUAUGUGUACAUCCACAUUAGCAUGUAUGGAGGUGGGUUAUUUGGACCUUUACAUGCCUGGAGAGAUAAGAAGCAACAGGGGGAGGAUGUGAAGAAACGCCUGCUCUCAUAGGAAAAGCAGCCAGGGGGGCUUAAUUGAGAGAGGUGGCCUUUACUGUGACUCCAGUGUAGAAAAUCUUAUUCAGUAAACACUGCACCAAAUCAUCAGGGAAAGACUGUACAAUCCAUUUAUAUCAGAGGAAGAGGACAUAAGAGGCUUUUUGAUUAGUUUCACCACAGCCCGCAUCAGUGCGCAGAAACACUGAAGCCCAAUCUCAAUCCACACACAUGCACACACACACACACACAUUUCUCAGACUCAUUUUUCACGGCUCCCUGCAGGCCUCACAAUCCAAAGUGGACAGUAAGUGUAACUGUGAUUACACACAUAGCACAAGACCCAACAACUGGAUCAUGGGCCUCCCAUGACAUCUCCAUCUCCAAAUGCCGUACUUUCAGAUAUCCUUUGAAUUUCUGAUGCGUCUUUUUUUUUUUUUAUCAUCUGAAAACUGGUUUGUGUAAUAAGAACAAUCUAAUUUAUUUUACACUCUGCUCUCUCCCCACGUCUCUUUUCGCGCUGUCUCUCUGCCUGCCUUCUGUUUGUUCUAAUGAAUGACUGCUGAGAUGAGGUGCUGCUGUGCGGGGGUCACAAGGGGCUUCAGAAUCACAUUACUGUUAAUGAUAAUAAAAAGAACAAUCUGUGCUAAGCCUCUCGGAUGUCUUCCUCUCUUCUCUCUCCAUAUGGAAUGACUGUUUUAUCCGCCAUUGUUUUUUGUGUUUGAAUCGCAUGCAAUGCAAUUGAAAUGCACAAUAAAUACUGUUUUGUGUCAUUA